AACAGUUCCUGGCUGACCUCAUGGCGGUCUAACAGAAGAGCCCAUCCAUGGGCUGAGAUAAUGAUGAUGCACUCGGAGGAGAGCGACGGCAGGAGAGGCAGGCUCAGGCAGCCAGACGGAGGAAAAGCCGGGUAGCAGAGCGGGAGAGCACGGUUGAGAAGAAUGCCAGCUUGGGGACCACUCUAUGGCAGGAAGGUAUGCCUGAACAGAACAGCAGAUGACCGCGAGGAAGAAGGUGAGUGGAAAUUCACGUAAAAAAGGACUAAAAGUACUGGGGGAGGGGGACACUUAGUAUGUAUUCCUUUAUCAUUGUGAAUUGCUGCAUCUUUGAAGUGUAGUUGAGGACAUUUGUGAUUUAUUGUGGCAGUUAAUGUUGUAUUUUCAUCAUCAGGCUUGUCUCAGCCUGUACCACCUGUCCCUCUGACAGAGGAGAAUGAGGACACAAUGGAGAAAAGGAGCUUCCAGAGGUUACUACGGAAAAUAGGGGUUCGAGUACCAGCCGAUGAGCAGGGGGGAUUUAGGCGGCAACUCAGCUAUAUAAAAAUAUAUAUUUUUAUAUCAUUUUUGUUGUUGUUUUACCCACAUUAAAUUGCAGGACUAAGUCCCAAAAGUAUUUACUUAGUUAAAAGAUGGAAUCCGCAAUAGGGGAAACUGACGCUGUCGGCACCAUGGCCAUUAUCGUUUUUUUGUUGUUGAGCGGAGGUGAGUGUUGCAAUGCGCAUCCAAAAAUUGCAGUACAUAUUCUGCUGUUCUAUUUCGCGUGCGUUCAUUGAUGUCCGAGAGAAAAAACAGCAUUGCCUUCAGUCACUUUGUUGUUGUUGUAUUAUCACAAACGGACGUGGCAGUUUCACGAUUAAGGAUUCCAACUUUAAGGCAAGAUGCAGCUUAUAUGAGGCACUCAACUUUGAAAAUGUUGCAUUUAUAAAAGGCAUUGAAGUGAUGUCUGUGUUUUUCAAAACUUCAGCAGGCUUUCCCAUAGACUACUGUAUAGGUAAUGUGUGUCUGAUGAUCGAUUAGGAGUCGUUCUGGAGGAUCCCAGCCAAGAUAAACCAGUUAAGGGGAUCCGCGACGGCAGGGGGAGAGGGGUCGGAGUGGCCAUCCCCAAGGAGCCCCAUCCAGGAGCAGCCGCAGGUGGAGGCAGACUCCCAUGAGCAGAGAGCCCAGGCCCUCUGAGGCCUGCUGCUGGCCCACAAGAGGAAAUAGCCAUCUGCCUCAGCAGAACACAAAGAUGUCACACCUGUUGAGGAUAUAGAUUCAGACAGUGCACCUCAGAGAUCUUCAGAGAAUAAGAAGACCUCCAGCAAGAGAAGCAGAGUGCUGUUGUUGGACAGCGAUGAGGAUGGAGAUACUGUGCUUUAACCUAAUCAUAAAUCUAGUCUUGUUAGUUUUACCCACAAACUCCUUUGCCUUUGUUUAGCAAGAAUGACAAUGACUGGCGUUUGUUAAAGAAGAAACGGACUGGCAUCCAGGCUACAAAAUUAUUAACACGACAUGUUUUGCUAACAUUGCUGUCUCCUCUCCUGACAGAGGUCUCCCUCACUCUGGACCUCGUGGCUGACAGGGACGCAGUGACUCAGUCACUCCGCCCCUGCCAAGGGCAGACGACAGAGGGUCUUGAUUGACGAUGAGCAAGAUCAUGAUUAGAGGAGAAGUCUUCAGCUGUAUGGGGACUGAGGAUGGGGAAACCUGGACCUUCACUUACCAAAUAUUUCUGAGAAGGCGGUAAACAAGUAUUAGAGAAAAUCCAAAGACCAGAGAGUGAGAUAGCUCCAGGUUUAUUGGAAACAUGAUGCAUUUGAUGGGCUUGUCAUUAUAUUCUUCAGUAUUCAAUGUUCUGUAUGUCUUUCAAAGGUCUAGCCAAUACAGGGAUUGUACUGUCAAUGCCCAGGUUUUAGAAUAAAAAAAGAGAUGUUUCUUUCCAUGGAUUUGUCCCAAAUGGCACCCUAUUCCCUUUAUAGUGCACUACUUUGGAUCAGGGUCCAUACGGUGGAAAGUGGCAUUUUGAGGCAGUCCAUAUAAACUCAAUAUUGUAAUAAGCAGAUUACUGGUUAACUUUGAUCACUUUUGGGGAAAUAAAAUAUCUGCUGUUUUUAAAAA